rnacentral:rRNA from 1 species
GAUGAACGCUGGCGGCGUGCUUAACACAUGCGAGUCGAACGAGAAGUGAAGACGGAAACCUUCGGGCGGAAGGCUUUAUUUCGAGUGGCGGACGGGUGAGUAACGCGUGGGUAACCUGCCUCAUACAGGGGGAUAACAGUUGGAAACGACUGUUAAUACCGCAUAAGACCACAGCACCGCAUGGUGCGGGGGUAAAAACUCCGGUGGUAUGAGAUGGACCCGCGUUCGAUUAGCCAGUUGGCGGGGUAACGGCCCACCAAAGCGACGAUCGAUAGCCGAUCUGAGAGGAUGACCGGCCACAUUGGGACUGAGACACGGCCCAAACUCCUACGGGAGGCAGCAGUGGGGAAUAUUGCACAAUGGGGGAAACCCUGAUGCAGCGACGCCGCGUGAGUGAAGAAGUAUUUCGGUAUGUAAAGCUCUAUCAGCAGGGAAGAAAAUGACGGUACCUGAGGAAGAAGCCCCGGCUAACUACGUG